UACAGAGGGUGCGAGCGUUGUCCGGAAUUACUGGGCGUAGAGGGCGCGUAGGCGGCUUGGUAAGUCGGGGGUGAAAGUCAGCGGCUCAACCGCUGGACUGCCUUCGAGACUGCCUGGCUUGAGCAUGGUAGAGGCUGGCGGAAUUCCCGGUGUAGCGGUGGAAUGCGUAGAGAUCGGGAAGAACAUCGGUGGCGAAGGCGGCCAGCUGGGCCAUUGCUGACGCUGAGGCGCGACAGCGUGGGGAGCAAACAGG
rnacentral:rRNA from 1 species